rnacentral:lncRNA from 1 species
AAUUGUGAAAGUGGAAAAGAAAAGUGCAUUAAUAAAAAGAAAGAAGGUUCAAAGUUUAUGGUUUGAGAUUUGUCAUAUUAGCACUAUACCUAUAUAUAAAGGGGAUACACCUAUUUGGAGUGGCCUAUUUUUCUCCCGAUUUUACCCUUAGAUUUUUUAAUUCUUUUUAUUUUAUCCAAUAAUAAUAAUAAUAUGUGGCACUCAUACCAUCCCGCACUUAUGGAACAGUUUAAGAAAAUAUUUCACUUUAUAACUUCUCACGUUUUUAUUCCUAUUAUCAAAUUUUAACUCCUACAAAAUAGGAAUAGCAGUUACAACAUAUAAGAAAUGACAGUUUAAUUUUAAAUAAUGGAUGCAUUGGCUACACACAUAAAAUCCAAGUGUAAUGGGAGUUUAUGUGACAUCACCAAAAUAUUUCCUUAACUUCUCAAUAUCAAUGUUCUUAUUAUUGGCUGCUACAAAAACAAUUACCAACCAUAUUUAUCUUUCACCACAACAU